GCAAGUCGAGCGGAUGACGGGAGCUUGCUCCUUGAUUCAGCGGCGGACGGGUGAGUAAUGCCUAGGAAUCUGCCUGGUAGUGGGGGACAACGUUUCGAAAGGAACGCUAAUACCGCAUACGUCCUACGGGAGAAAGCAGGGGACCUUCGGGCCUUGCGCUAUCAGAUGAGCCUAGGUCGGAUUAGCUUGUUGGUGAGGUAAUGGCUCACCAAGGCGACGAUCCGUAACUGGUC
rnacentral:rRNA from 1 species